rnacentral:rRNA from 1 species
CGGGUGCGUAACGCGUAUGCAAUCUACCUUUUACAGAGGGAUAGCCCAGAGAAAUUUGGAUUAAUACCUCAUAGUAUUACGACUCGGCAUCGAGAUGUAAUUAAAGUCACAACGGUAAAAGAUGAGCAUGCGUCCCAUUAGCUUGUUGGUAAGGUAACGGCUUACCAAGGCAACGAUGGGUAGGGGUCCUGAGAGGGAGAUCCCCCACACUGGUACUGAGACACGGACCAGACUCCUACGGGAGGCAGCAGUGAGGAAUAUUGGUCAAUGGGCGCAAGCCUGAACCAGCCAUGCCGCGUGCAGGAUGACGGUCCUAUGGAUUGUAAACUGCUUUUGUACAGGAAGAAACAGUUCUACGUGUAGAACCUUGACGGUACUGUAAGAAUAAGGAUCGGCUAACUCCGUGCCAGCAGCCGCGGUAAUACGGAGGAUCCAAGCGUUAUCCGGAAUCAUUGGGUUUAAAGGGUCCGUAGGCGGUUUAGUAAGUCAGUGGUGAAAGCCCAUCGCUCAACGGUGGAACGGCCAUUGAUACUGCUAAACUUGAAUUAUUGUGAAGUAACUAGAAUAUGUAGUGUAGCGGUGAAAUGCUUAGAGAUUACAUGGAAUACCAAUUGCGAAGGCAGGUUACUAACAAUAUAUUGACGCUGAUGGACGAAAGCGUGGGUAGCGAACAGGAUUAGAUACCCUGCUAGUCCACGCCGUAAACGAUGGAUACUAGCUGUUCGGAGCAAUCUGAGUGGCUAAGCGAAAGUGAUAAGUAUCCCACCUGGGGAGUACGUUCGCAAGAAUGAAAACUCAAGGAAUUAACGGGGGCCCGCACAAGCGGUGGAGCAUGUGGUUUAAUUCGAUGAUACGCGAGGAACCUUACC